rnacentral:lncRNA from 1 species
GAUUCACCACCUUCAGCCGGGAGACGCAGCCAGUCCGCAGCAACCAUGCAAAGAGGAACUGGGAAUGCUCUCCUCCCUCGCUACUGGCCCCUGCUCCCGCUCCCCAUUGGCCAAACCUGGCCGGAAGUAGGAGGCCCAGGAUCCUGUUGGUAGAGUCCUUGGACUGGCCUCCCUGGGACAGAACCAGUGGGGAAUGGACUGCAGAUACAGCACAUACCUGCCCUGGAAGGGAGAUCUGGCCAUCUGCAGUUUGCUAAAGCCACACCAGGUAAUAGGAAAAGAGCCUCUUUAUGAUGGGCUGUGUUGCUGAACUUACCACAGGGCCAUGGAUGGGACAAACACAUCAUGAGGGCUGUGGUCUGCCUUUUUAUUUCUUGGAAAGAGAAAUGCAACAAGAUGCUAAGUAUUUUAUAGAAAACCACACAU